AGAGGUCAGNGGAAUUCCGAGUGUAGAGGUGAAAUUNGUAGAUAUUCGGAAGAACACCAGUGGCGAAGGCGGCUGACUGGACAUGUAUUGACGNUGAGGUGCGANAGCGUGGGGAGCAAACAGGAUUAGAUACCNUGGUAGUNCACGCCGUAAACGAUGAUAACUAGCUGUCCGGGGACUUGGUCCUUGGGUGGCGCAGCUAACGCAUUAAGUUAUCCGCCUGGGGAGUACGGCCGCAAGGUUAAAACUCAAAUGAAUUGACGGGGGCCUGCACNAGCGGUGGAGCAUGUGGUUUAAUUNGAAGCAACGCGCAGAACCUNACCAGCGUUUGACAUGGUAGGACGGCUUCCAGAGAUGGAUUCCUUCCCUUCGGGGACCUACACACAGGUGNUGCAUGGCUGUCGUCAGCUCGUGUCGUGAGAUGUUGGGUUAAGUCCCGCAACGAGCGCAACCCUCGCCUUUAGUUACCAUCAUUUAGUUGGGUACUCUAAAGGAACCGCCGGUGAUAAGCCGGAGGAAGGUGGGGAUGACGUCAAGUCCUCAUGGCCCUUACGCGCUGGGCUACACACGUGCUACAAUGGCAACUACAGUGGGCAGCAAUCCCGCGAGGGUGAGCUAAUCUCCAAAAGUUGUCUCAGUUCGGAUUGCACUCUGCAACUCGAGUGCAUGAAGGCGGAAUCGCUAGUAAUCGCGGAUCAGCAUGCCGCGGUGAAUACGUUCCCAGGCCUUGUACACACCGCCCGUCACACCAUGGGAGUUGGAUUCACCCGAAGGCNNNNNNCUAACCUNCAAGNAGNCAG
rnacentral:rRNA from 1 species